rnacentral:rRNA from 1 species
UACGUAGGGUGCAAGCGUUUGUCCGGAAUUAUUGGGCGUAAAGAGCUCGUAGGCGGUUCGUCGCGUCGGCUGUGAAAACCUGAGGCUCAACCUCAGGCCUGCAGUCGAUACGGGCGGACUUGAGUACUGCAGGGGAGACUGGAAUUCCUGGUGUAGCGGUGAAAUGCGCAGAUAUCAGGAGGAACACCGGUGGCGAAGGCGGGUCUCUGGGCCGAUACUGACGCUGAGGAGCGAAAGCGUGGGGAGCGAACAGG